rnacentral:rRNA from 1 species
UUGACCUCGGAUCAGGUAGGAAUACCCGCUGAACUUAAGCAUAUCAAUAAGCGGAGGAAAAGAAACCAACAGGGAUUGCCCUAGUAACGGCGAGUGAAGCGGCAACAGCUCAAAUUUGAAAUCUGGCCCUAGGCCCGAGUUGUAAUUUGCAGAGGAUGCUUCGGGCGCGGUGCCUUCCCAAGUCCCCUGGAACGGGGCGCCAGAGAGGGUGAGAGCCCCGUACGGUCGGCCGCUAAGCCUGUGUGAAGCUCCUUCGACGAGUCGAGUAGUUUGGGAAUGCUGCUCAAAAUGGGAGGUAGACCCCUUCUAAAGCUAAAUACCGGCUAGAGACCGAUAGCGCACAAGUAGAGUGAUCGAAAGAUGAAAAGAACUUUGAAAAGAGGGUUAAACAGCACGUGAAAUUGUUGAAGGGGAAGCGCUUGUGACCAGACUUGCGCCGGGGCGAUCAUCCAGCGUUCUCGCUGGUGCACUCGCCCCGGCGCAGGCCAGCGUCGGUUCGGGAGGGGGGACAAAGGUGUCUGGAACGUGGCUCCCCCGGGAGUGUUAUAGCCAGGCUCGCCAUGCCCCCGCCCGGACCGAGGUUCGCGCUCUGCAAGGACGCUGGCGUAAUGGUCACCAGCGGCCCGUCUUGAAACACGGACCAAGGAGUCGAGGUUCUGCGCGAGUGUUUGGGUGACAAACCCGCACGCGCAAUGAAAGUGAACGCAGGUGGGAGCUUCGGCGCACCACCGACCGAUCCUGAUGUUCUCGGAUGGAUUUGAGUACGAGCGUAGGGCCUCGGACCCGAAAGAUGGUGAACUAUGCUUGGAUAGGGUGAAGCCAGAGGAAACUCUGGUGGAGGCUCGCAGCGGUUCUGACGUGCAAAUCGAUCGUCAAAUCUGAGCAUGGGGGCGAAAGACUAAUCGAACCAUCUAGUAGCUGGUUACCGCCGAAGUUUCCCUCAGGAUAGCAGUGUUGUUCUUCAGUUUUAUGAGGUAAAGCGAAUGAUUAGGGACUCGGGGGCGCUAUUUAGCCUUCAUCCAUUCUCAAACUUUAAAUAUGUAAGAAGCCCUUGUUGCUUAGUUGAACGUGGGCAUUCGAAUGUACCAACACUAGUGGGCCAUUUUUGGUAAGCAGAACUGGCGAUGUGGGAUGAACCAUACGCGGGGUUAAGGUGCCGGAGUGGACGCUCAUCAGACACCACAAAAGGCGUUAGCACAUCUUGACAGCAGGACGGUGGCCAUGGAAGUCGGAAUCCGCUAAGGACUGUGUAACAACUCACCUGCCGAAUGUGCUAGCCCUGAAAAUGGAUGGCGCUCAAGCGUCCCACCCAUACCUCGCCCUCAGGGUAGGAACGAUGCCCUGAGGAGUAGGCGGCCGUGGAGGUCCGUGACGAAGCCUAGGGCGUGAGCCCGGGUCGAACGGCCUCUAGUGCAGAUCUUGGUGGUAGUAGCAAAUACUUCAAUGAGAACUUGAAGGACCGAAGUGGGGAAAGGUUCCAUGUGAACAGCGGUUGGACGUGGGUUAGUCGAUCCUAAGCCAUAGGGAAGUUCCGUUUCAAAGGGGCACUCGUGCCCCGUGUGGCGAAAGGGAAGCCGGUCAAUAUUCCGGCACCUGGAUGUGGGUUUUUCGCGGCAACGCAACCGAACGCGGAGACGGCGGCGGGGGCCCCGGGCAGAGUUCUCUUUUCUUCUUAACGGCCUGUCACCCUGGAAACAGUUUGUCUGGAGAUAGGGUUUAAUGACCGGAAGAGCCCGGCACUUCUGCUGGGUCCGGCGCGCCCCCGACGUCCCUUGAAAAUC